rnacentral:rRNA from 1 species
UACGUAGGGUGCAGGCGUUAAUCGGAAUUACUGGGCGUAAAGCGUGCGCAGGCGGCUCCUUAAGUCAGAUGUGAAAUCCCCGGGCUUAACCUGGGAAUUGCAUUUCAAACUGGCCGACUAGAGUACGGUAGAGGGAGGUAGAAUUUCCUGUGUAGCGGUGAAAUGCGUAGAUAUAGGAAGGAAUACCAGUGGCGAAGGCGGCCUCCUGGAUCGAUACUGACGCUGAGGCGCGAAAGCGUGGGGAGCAAACAGG